rnacentral:rRNA from 1 species
UGGGGAAUAUUGCACAAUGGGCGCAAGCCUGAUGCAGCCAUGCCGCGUGAGUGAAGAAGGCCCUAGGGUUGUAAAACUCUUUCACCGGUGAAGAUAAUGACGGUAGCCGGAGAAGAAGCCCCGGCUAACUCCGUGCCAGCAGCCGCGGUAAUACGGAGGGGGCUAGCGUUGUUCGGAAUCACUGGGCGUAAAGCGCGCGUAGGCGGACUGAUCAGUUGGGGGUGAAAGCCCAAGGCUCAACCUUGGAACUGCCCUCAAUACUAUCAGUCUUGAGUCCGGGAGAGGUGAGUGGAAUUCCUAGUGUAGAGGUGAAAUUCGUAGAUAUUAGGAAGAACACCAGUGGCGAAGGCGGCUCACUGGCCCGGUACUGACGCUGAGGUGCGAAAGCGUGGGGAGCAAACAGGAUUAGAUACCCCCGUAGUCC